CAUCAACGUCAACGUAAACAAAUAGCGGGAGAUUAGCACGUUUGUAUUUUUAUCAUAUUAUCGUAUAGGCAAGUGGAGUUAUGGAGGGUCGAGAUUAUUUACUAAAAUUUAACCAAACUGCCACAUGGGCAGCAACUAAAAAAUCAAUCUGACGUCAGGCUUCUGCUGCGUGUGGAGAGAAAGUAGAGUGGUUAUCGCACUUUCAAUGAGGAGAACUUUGUCGAGUGGCUAGCUGGUAGCGCUAAACUUCAGCUACUAAUUGCUGGCCAUGUCUUAUUUUUGACAAAGAUUCAUGCUCCCUGAACAAUCUCUGGGUCUCUUGUUGACCACUUCGCCACCAUGAAAGACAGGAGAAUAGCCUUCCUCUACAAAUAGGACAACAGAGAGGAGUUGGUUUGCAAGAGGAGGCAUUAUCUUGAUGGUGGAGACAAACUGUCGAGCCCGGAGGAGAAAGGGAAGGGGAAAAGGAAGAAACUGAAGAAUGGUCGAUAUUCUGACGACGACGACGUAUCGCUGGAUCCUCAGUUAAGUCAAUGUAAGAAGAAGAAGAAGAGAAAAAACACAGGUCUUAACGCCUUAAUGGAACUGGAAAAGCAAGUUCUUCUUCAUCAAAUAAAGAUGGAAACUUGGAAAAAAAAUCCACGCAUGGAAGAGAUUGACUCGGCAACCACAAGCACAGAACCGGCACCUUCGGACGAAGCCGACUCCACCCAUGACUCCGUCUCGGCCAACGGGAAAACGUACAGGUUUAACCCCCAGUGGUUAAAAACGUUCAAUUGGCUGGUCUACGACCAAUCCAAGAAGUCUAUGUUUUGUAAAUAUUGCCUCGAG
ensembl:lncRNA